UACGUAGGGUGCAAGCGUUGUCCGGAAUUAUUGGGCGUAAAGAGCUCGUAGGUGGUUUGUCGCGUUGUUCGUGAAAAACCGGGGGCUUAACCCUCGGCGUGCGGGCGAUACGGGGCAGACUUGAGUACUGCAGGGGAGACUGGAAUUCCUGGUGUAGCGGUGGAAUGCGCAGAUAUCAGGAGGAACACCGGUGGCGAAGGCGGGUCUCUGGGCAGUAACUGACGCUGAGGAGCGAAAGCGUGGGGAGCGAACAGG
rnacentral:rRNA from 1 species